CAUCGGCAAUCUGCCACGGUGAGUUGGAAAUAUCGGCAUAUCGGAUAUCGGCAAAAAAUCAAAUAUCGUGUAUCCCUAGUUUCAUUGGAUUUGUGUGUCUUAUAGACUCGACUUAAACAGCUGUCAGUUGAUCAACACCUGAUUAUAAAGUGGAUCAGAUGUAUAUGGAAAACUGAGAGAUUCUGUAAACCAUAAAAGAAUUGCCAAAGAGAAUUGCACCCUUAUAGUGGUGGCAGAGUUUGAUGUGCCUGUAUUCUAGGAGUUAUGUUAGUGGGGGGCAAUAGGUCCUGGUAGGGUUUCCAAGGACCAGACCAGGAGUGACUAAAAAAAUCCUUAUUGAUUGGCCAAUAAGUGAGAGAGCAAUUUUGUGUGGAAAAGGAAAACCGGGACCCUCUUCUAGUGCAAGCCCUGAGAGGGGCCUGGAGGCCACAUCAGUACCUAUCUGGCCCAGCAUUGCCAGUCGGAUAGUGGAUGCAGGUAAAGGCCUUGGCGUUCAGAUCCCAGACCACCUUCCCAUUCACUUGAAUGAGAAAGUGUGUCCAAACAUUUGAGUGGUACUGUAGGUCUGCUGGUCUCAUUAAACCAUGACCUUCUCCAAGUACUUGGUUUAUUUCUAAACGUCCACUGGCACAGUUCCUCCAGUGACACGGACAUACAAACAAGCUGCUGUAUGUUUUUUUUAAGUGAUGUACUUAUUUUCAGGAUCUCAGAAUUCGGAAUAUUUACUGAUUUUUAGUUUUUAUCCUGAGUACUUUUUAUCACAGUAUUUUUGAGAUGUAUGAUGUGUUGUAAUGUUGAAUUAUUUGGUACUGUACAACAGCAGCAUUGUGUGUCCAAGGCAAAUUUCUCUCUGGGACAAUAAAGACUUAUCUUAUUUGUAGCCAAGUGUGGUGGUUGAGAGUCCAAGAGGCUGUAAAACGCUAAAUUAUCUCUUCUGGGUCUGGAGUUUCCCCAGUGAGGAGGUUCAAGUAUCUUGGGGUCUUGUUAGACUAACAGAUGACUGGUUGCAGUGAGCAACAAGGAUGUGGUAGGUAAAAAAAAAAAAAAGGGGAACAGAGUUGUUGUUUUUUUCAUAUUGUGAGCCAGUUAACCAAAUUUAUUUUUCUACUUUUUCUUUUUGAUGAAGGUGGUACCAUGAAGAAUGACAAAUUAAUCUCUAACAUUAUUUUUAAAUAUUUUUUUGUUAAUACAUUACUUUUAAGAGAAUACUGUAACUCAUAACUGAGGUAAUAAUUUAUGAAAUGCAUGUGACACUGCUUUUCAGAUUCCUUCCGCUAACUUACCUUUUGAUCCUGAGUGGAAGUUUUGUGAACGCUGCACCAGAUCAUUCCUGCUGAUCAUUUCUAAAACCUUCAUGGUUACCUGCAGAGCUCCAGGAUCCUGAUAUUUCUGUCCCAUUGGAUCCACUGUGAGGUCUAAAACAAGAUCCACUGUACGUGUCCUUGCUGCUUUCUCCAGCUGAGCCACUGGGAUGCCUUUAGAGCCCUCCAGGAUGUCAUCCUGCUCCAGGAGUUCAUGAAUGGUCAGCUGAUAACGUUGGACGCUGAGAGGAGCUGUUUGGCCUGCGAAAACCUGAAGGCAAAAUAAUA